AUGUCUGUGUGUGUGCGAGAGCUUCUCCCUCAAUCAAGAUUCAUCCCGAGAGAGCACAAGCUUCCCUCUUUCUUCAGAGCAGCAGUUCAGCUGUUAUGUGACUAUCCCUGCACACAGGUGUUUACAGGAAAUGGAUAUCAGAAGCCACAGGAGAGGGAGCUACGUCUGUCGAAAAGGCCCAUUUAAUCGUCUCUGUCUGUCAAGGGCCACGAUGACAUUAUCCAUGACCUCAUCCAUCCUGGAAUCCGACCAAUCCCGUCCUGGAAUUUCCCCUACACCGUGACCACCAGUGCGAGCUGAUGCUCAGUCACAGAUGGUGGAAACAGUUAACAGUCAACACGACCAGGUUAUAAUGGGAGACCAGAUUUAACUGUCAUAUUAGGCCCGCUGAGACAAUGUUGUUAUAUAGCUUACAGUAGUAGAAUAAUACUAUUUAUUCCUAAAUUACAGAUAUACAGUACCAAUAAGUAUAGGUGUAUACAUAUUGAUAUGAGUACCAUCUCAGUUCUGGAAAACUGUGCCAAAACAGCUCUAAGUCUGCUGGCUUUUGUCUUAGUAACAAAGGUAGAUGGCAUUUUAUUCCAACAAAUAACUGCUUAAUAAAGAUUUUAUUACAAAAAUACACUUUUCAAAAGCAUUUUAAUGAAAUGCUCAAUAGGUCAAAAUGUUUUAAACAAACGAUGAGGAGAGGACAGUCAUACAAUUUCUUUCAACAUCUUUAAUGGAAGCAGUUAUUUUUUCGUUUGUUGAAAAGUAACCAAAUGCCAGCUGGAAAAUUGCCAAUACAGAAGCUCAGCUGAAAACACACACAGCUCUGUUGGGCAUCACUUGGCUUUGCAAAUACGUCUACCAAACACAGACAGCAGGUGGGUUAAAUUUCCCAGCAGAACAGAACAGGCUCUCAAUAAUCAGGGGAGAGAGAGGCCAACAUUAUACAUUUUUAACAUCAAUACAACUCCAAACACCAUCAAGCUCUGAAUGUAUAAUUCUGGGCCAUUGUUCCUCAUCAAUAGGUAAUAAGCACCAUAUUCAUAUCAAGAUAAUCACUUUCAUCACAUUCACCAAUAGGUCCACUUUCACUCAGACAGACCCAGGA
rnacentral:lncRNA from 1 species